GGGGCUGUGGCGCAGUGGGAGCGCGCUACCUUGGCAUGGUAGAGGCCGCGGGUUCAAUCCCCGCCAGCUCCACCA
rnacentral:tRNA from 4 species